ACCUGGGGCACGCUGCUGCCAGCACAGCGUGUGCUGCCUUCUUUCUUUAUCAGCAGUGCCUUAUCAGCCCAAGCACUACAGCCAGGAGCUGCGGUGACGCUACACAAGGUAUGUUGACUUAAUGCUGUCGUGUUGACUGAGGGCGGUGACUGCCAGAAGCAGCUCAUAUUUGGUGGUGUUAAAUAGUGGGGAGGCUGGGGGAAGCCCCAGGGACAUGGGAGUUCGGUGGGAGGAAAUGUUAAAUGGUGAGCACCGCUCCCGGGGCUUCACAAACAGGAAUGCAAACUGCAGGAGGGCAGCUGCCAGCACAGCGUGCCAUCCUCACACCAGCCUUUGAGGGCUGCACAGCUGAGGUUUUAACACAGAAUAGAGCUGGAAGGUCCAGAUAGGUUGCUGGUUGGACAUAGUGUUGUUCCCCCGCCCCAUGUUUUCCUCCAGAGCUGAGGUUUAAGUUACCCCAGAUGACAGCUGCAGCGUUAAACCCCCACAAGCUCUGCCCUGGGACUGCAGCAGGCGGCCAGAGAGAAGCCAGAGCUACUGCUUUGCUUUUUUUUUUCCUUGUCUCUUCACCCUGAACAGACCACGCAAUAGUCAGCUGAAGGAAGCUUGCCAGGGAAAAGCAAAAACAAAUUGUGCUCGUUGUUUUGACUUGCUUUUCUCAUUGGAGAACAGCCAUGAACCCAUCCUUCCGGAUUUUUUUUUUUUAAUAUAUAUUUGUUUUUGCCUCUAUAAACAGGAGCUCCUACUUGCUCAGUACAAACAGCUCUCCUUCGAGAAGCUUAUGGGCCCCCUCCUCCUGCCAGCAGCACUGCAGGAACACAACAAACCCCACUAAAAAUAGCUCAGAAUGGGGAUUGGUAGGAGUGCAGCAAGUUGCGCACCGUCAGCAUGGGAUCAGGUGUUCUUAAAAACAAAACAAAACAAAAAACCAAAACAGUGCUCUGUCUUCACGCUUGAUUUUUUAACGCAGAAUCCGGCACAUCUUUUGGCUGAUCUCCAAAUCGGAACAAGCAAAGGCUUCUUGAAGUAGCACAAAUGCUCGAGGGGUACAGAAUGACGCUGAGGUUGGCAUGGGAGCAGGAAGAGCAGAGCUGCCCAAGGCACAUCGUGGCUGUGCACCACUGUUCUGCAUGUGCCUCUCCCUGCAAUUUCACAAGAAAUAGGAAAGGUCUGAGCACAGCCAAGGGCAGCAGCAGCUGCUGUGGUGGCCAGCUGGCUGCAGCAGCCAGUAAUCUCAUAGAAGCACAGCAGCUCUUCAGGGGAAGCUAGUGCUAACUGCGCAUUUCCUACCUGGUGCUUAAGUACAAGGCCAAGCUCUACAUCCAAAAAAGACUCAUCCUACACAGGGCACGGGUUGUCUGUUAUAGACCAGCUUGAGCUUGGUUCAUUUGGCUGCCGCACACAAAGCAACGCUGACCCAGGCAAGGAAAGGGCUGUAGGAAGGAAAGUGGUGGGAAAGAAAGGAAGGGCAGCGACUUUCUGACCUUGCUUUGCCACCCGGCCCAGCCAAUGCUGUGAAUACAGCUCUGCUGCAGUUGCAUCUAAAAAGGAAAGGCACAGCCCGUGCCCCCUUUUCCAGCCUUUCUUUUGCAGAUUAUCUUUAAGCUGUGGCAUUUCCCAGAACGUCAGCUUGGUGCUGAGAGCACAGGCAAUAGUAGCAGGUCUAGAAAGAAAAGCUUGGCUCACCACGAAGGGGUUGUUUGGAUGGAGCAAGGGUUGGGCCUCUAGAUCAAGUUUGCUUUGUAUCACUUCUAAUAUCAGAAUCUUCAUACAACUAGUUGAUUGCUUGUUUCUAGUUUUUAUCAGCUCUCCUUCCAGGUUUAUCUUCUCCAUAGGAUGGCACAUGUAAAAAAAAAAACCACAUACAGAAGUGAUGCUCAGAGUAGGAAGGUUUUACUUUACUGUAUAAGCAGAUCUGCCUUUACCCUUGGAGAGGUUAGUGCCAAGCUCAGUCAUGGGAAUGGUGUAUUUCAGUCAGCAGCAGUUUAUUUGUAUCCCUAAAUACAUGCAGCCUGACCACAGCUAGCAUUCCUGAAUGAAAGCUAAAGCAGAAGGCAGCACCAGGUCACAUGUGAUGGAAAAUGUCAGCGUUUGUCUGGCCAAAUCGGAAUCCGGAUGCCAUUGCAACAUCAGGUCCUCGUGUUCUUGCAGCCACAGCUGGAGGCUGCUGUGCAGCCCUGGCCUGGGGGCUCACCUGCACUCUCACCAGUGUAUGUCCCUAUGCUGUGGGUGUUUCUGGGACUGUGCUUUGGGAAAGGCCAAUCACAGCCUCCAUUGCACGCUCCAUUAACGGCAGUGUCCUCUGCACAACACAAACGUCUCAGUUCGGCUCUAAAACAACACCUGUCAGCCCAUCAGAAAUGAUCAGGGUUCCUCCUCUUCUCUGCGCUGGCCAACUCCUCACGUCACCCUGCUUUGUCACAGCCUGACCAUGGAUGAGCUUAUGAGAAAAAGGUCAGAGCAGGACACAGGUCAGGCAGAAACAGAGCAUCACAAAAGAGUAAGUCAGCCCAAACCCACAGACGGGAUCACUGCUGUUAGCCUGCAAGAAUCUGCCCAAAUAGCCUGAGAGAAAGCUGAAGCUCGAGCAGGCACCAAACCGGGCUGUAAUUCGUUGCAGAGUUAGAUCAUGGAGCUGUACUCGUCACUGUGGCACAGCCCAACCGAGACCUAACAGCUAUUACAAACAAACAGAACGCCCAGCCCUGUCUGUCUGUUCAAUUACAAAUCUUCCAAAACAGAACAUUUCCCCAAGUUGGUGACUCCAAAACUCAGAAAUGGAAACAAACUUCCUCUGGGUUACUGCGCAUUCCUUCGGCCCUUACUGUUUCCUAAAUGCAAUGCUUGUGGCGCCUGCUGAAAGCCCACUGAAACAGCUUUCCAAGUCCACUUAAGGGGAAGUGAUUCAGUUAUUUUUUUUCUGGAAUUAGGUCUUGAAAAACCAUUCGUGAAAUUGUUUAUGGAAACAAAAAUAAGAGCUGUCAACUACCGCCUGAUAAAGCAACGUUGAAACUGUGACAUUUGAUCAGACCAGAGAAUGAACUGCAAGACUUCCAGAUUCAUAUAUUAUAAUGCAAAUGAGUUUUGUAAAUUGUGACCUAGUUCCCAUGUUAGAAGCAGUUAGGACCAACAGCAGGAACUAUGCCGUGAAUGCAAGUGGGGGGGAAGCAAGGAAAUUAACGUUUGUUCUUAAUUUGAAAUGGAUUUUUAAUCACCUUCAGGUGCCACAAAAAAAAGAGGCCCACAGGCUUGUUUGCUAUAAUCACUCUGACACAAGAAUGCACGUAGGAGGCUUUGGUUUGCUAAUUGAAAUGUUUGACUGGUGUCAAAUGAAGCACCAGAAUAGAGCUUGCUGUGACUGAGCGCACAGUGGAGGUUGGUGAACUCAAAGCUUUCCAAUCUGAUGCUCAGAACCUUCACUCCAAGUAUCUUAGAUGAUGACUAUUAGACGAUGGCAAUCUCUCAGUUCAGUUGCUGUUUCUUCCUCCUGAAAAAGUAGCUCUUGGGUCUUCUCCAGGGUUUUAGCUGUGUAAAUAUCGGACACCUACUUGGUGCAAUUCAGCACAAUUAGUGAGAAAUACUCACAGAACCCUGCUGGUGCUCCAGCAGUGACCCCUCCACCCCACACAGUGCUGAGGCAGCUGCCUAUUGAACCCUAGUGUUCAGUUGUGGCUUCAGGCAAGAGAAAACUUGUUGAAAAGUAAGUAGAUCUUCAGCUUAAGUAUAUCUAGAGUUGGUAUCGUCAGCGGAAACUAUUAGCUGUGUAUGGAAGGGGUGGACGUUGACUCCACUGAAAAAUAGAGUCUCAGCUCCAUCUCGUGGGCAAAACGGUUUUCUGCAAAGCAGUUGAAGUGAGGAAACCUGGCUUCUGCUACCUCAAGGCCAUCAGGUCAUUAAUGAAAGGCAGUAAACAAAUCCCAGUACCUCUGUUCACUUCAAAGGUCUGAAACUUCUUGGAAGUUGAUGCAAAAUAUCAGACUACUGCAGGGCAGCUCCUAAGAGCCAACACGCUCACUGAGUUCAGUGGUGAAAGGUGGCCAGGAAAGCCUUCGUCUUUCCUGGAUGGAGUUCUCCACGUUAAUAUGGUACCUAAGAAGAAUCUUGAACCAACCAACGAAAAACAGAACAUAUGCAGAGUAAAUUCGAAUAUUCUCUCCUCAGUAACACAUUUAUAAGCCCUGUAAGAGGCACUGUGGGGAAACACUUCCAAGUAACAUGAAAUGCAAAAGGAUAAGGUCAUUAACCUCAGCAUACCCAGACAGCUAGGAAGCUUUUCAGCCACACAUUUCUGAAGUCUGACUCCCAGCAGAGCACAAGGUCACAAAGACAAGAAGCAUACCAUAGAGCCCUCAAAUCCAAGCCUGUUUCUGUUCUUAGACAAGAAGCAAAAAACCUCUGUUUGAACUUCAGCACAGCCCUGUUCUCUUCAUUUGAAAGGCUGGGAAAAGCGGUAGUUACUAUUAAGGCAAAAGAAUUCUUACUGGAUAUAAUUGUUCCUAUUCUACAGGCUUUUUAAAAAGGGACCCAGUUUUCUGUGUGUUUUACAGCAGCACAGGAACAGCAAUGGUCUGAAUGUACUAGCAUUCAUCUGCCUUCUUCACACUUUCUUGUUAGCAAUGAAAAUUCACGCCGACUUCCACUGUAUCUAUAUGGGGUGUAUUUAAGGCAAUUCCAUCCUUUCUAAUCAAAACCUUUCAAAGUUAACACUUCUUCAUAAUCCCGAGGUGUAAAUAAUAAUUCCCAGAAGUAUUCCAUAAAUCUUUUCAGAAAAAGGCAAGCAACCAACAGUCCAUCUUUGUUUCUCAUUAGAUCAGUCACCACUUGCACUCAACAGCACAGACUUUUGUCAAAGCAGACUACGGACAGAAUGCAGAGCAACGUUUACAGACACAAACAGAGCAGACUUGAUUUAUUUUUAUAGCGCCCUGGUUCUGAAAAUAAACAGUAUUUCACACUGCAACAAAAAGAAGAUACAAUUAAAGGAAACGGGUAGCAAAAUCAACUCAUUAAGUAACAUAUAAUUCAUUUUCACUGCAUGGGAUCCAGACUGCUAACUGUCUCCAUGGAAGUGGCAGGCCUGAGCAAUCCUGUGAGUGGGACACGAGGUCAGUGUCACAGGUGAAGUUAAUGAAGAACAGUAAAACAUCCUUUCCACAGUGAGAGGAAUUUAAGGGUGGGGAGGAGAAACCAGCAACAACAGCCAGGCAUGUAUCUAGGAGUGUUUUCAUUCAUCACUUUUCAGUAGACAAAAACUAUUCAGACUAACAAUUGGACAUAACAUUUUGGUCUUAUAUAUUCAAAUGCUAAAAAAAAACCACUUAAAAACAAUUAUGGUGUGUUCGACCGUGUGCAAUUAAAAAUAAUUUAGCCAGCAACAGAUUUUUUUCCAAAAGGGCAUAAUAUUCUACUGGCUGAAGUGUCUGUGUAUUUAAGUGGAAGUCUUACAACGAUUGCAGCUUCGUUUUGACUACUGCAUCAGCUUUGCUUACUAGGAAGGUGACCUACAUUCAGUCUUAUGCAUGGACACCGAGCCUGCUUAUGUAGCUCUCCCAGGCUGCCUUCCUGUACUUCUCUGCCUCUUGAAGACGGUCUGAAGCUGACAAGAUGCCACGUCCCACAAUAAUAAUGUCUGAACCUUUUUCACUAAUCACUUCCUUGGGGCUUAAGUACUUCUGCCCAAGGUUAUCACCUGAAACAGAUAAAAAAAAAUGCUUUUAAGUUUGUGCAAAACUGUAUCUACUACAAAACUUUCAAAGGUGCUGGAACACGUAUGUUAUUUCAGUUCUCACCCUAUGAAUCCAUGGCAAUGACUAGAAACUGUGCCUCCAACUAAUGAACCUCUACCUAUUACAGUUAUUACAGAUCAAAUUUGACAGAGUUCUCUUUUUGGAUGUUCUACCAAUUACAAUAGAUGGAACUGUUAUUCAAAGGAACAGUGAUUCCAAUGACUGAAAUAAAUUUCAGCCUUCUUAAAAUAGGCAGAACUCCAAACACUGAAGUAGAAGCUGUGAUUUCACUUCAGAUUUUGAAGUAUUGCAGAGAAACACAUCUUCCCUACCUGGAUAAGUACUGGGCAGACAGUUCAGUAAGUUAUGACUUCCAAUUCAUUGACACUGCAUCUAUAUCAGUAUCAGUCAUGUUACAGUUAGACUUCAGUGUUUAACUGAAUGCCUUCUACCUGCUCAGUAGUCACGCAUGUAAGCUAAUGCCCAUCUGCAGACAUUUCAUGUGCUUAAGGACUGUGCUUCAUGGUACACACCGACCUCAGCACAAGAAGAUCUAACAGAGAAGCUGUGUGGGAUUCUGGUUGCCCUUCAGAACUCCCAGGAAAGAGAUCAGUACAUCCAGAAAUACGCAGGGCAGCCCAUAUUAGGAAAAUGGCAAACACAGACUCCAGACGUGAGUAACCCAAUCCCCUUCAGAAGUCACUUUUUCCACCGAAGCCCAAAUCACUCACUCUAUUUACCAACAGACUACAAAUAUUUCAGGGAAUGUUACCUCCAGCUUGCAGCUGUACUCCUGGAGUUAAGUGAAGAAAUUCUGGUUUGUCACUAACUCUAGAUCCAGAUAUGAAUCCAAAAACAAAGUCAGGGUUGUCUUCAGCCAUCUGUACCUAAAAAGUAGCAAUAAACUGCAUCAAGUGAUAUAUCUAAAAUUAAGCUUGCCCACCAUUCUGUUUCUAAUUAACCUGUGCAGGGCGGGGGUAUAAAAUAUGGGAGCUUACUAUGUGCUAAGUGAAAGUUCAUUCAGUGUAUUAAUUAUUACAAAUUUAUUGCUAAUGAAAAAAAAACGUGGCCAAUGGCAAACCUGAUGUGCUCACUAGAACUCACAGCAUGAACUCCAACGUCAUUAGCCUACAGAUGUAACCUUCAAGCACCACACUCUCAGGUUCCUGUGCUUCCACAGAAAGAAAACUUAUCACAUAGCUGGAGAGACUUCUGGAAGUGUGGAUAUUAACAGCAUACAAAACCUCCCCUUGUCAGAGCACUUUGCAAGCCGUUAACCUUAAACAAAAGCGCCCACUUACCGCAGCUUUGGUGUAUUCACCAGUUGCCAGCGACCCCUGGGAACUCAUCUCAGCAAUCAGAAGGCAGCCACGCUGCAGGGGAAGGCCCACUUCCUUCAGUCCCUUCACAACUCCAGAGCCUGGGACCACAUGUGCGUUAACCACAUCCGACCAGGAUGCUAUUUUGAACACACCACCUAAGAACACGGAUAUAAAGACCCGGGCAAAGUGAAAUUAAUCAUCAGAAAUGCAUUAAACAAGAAGUGUGAAUUAAACAAAACAAGCAGUGCAGUAAACCAUUCCAAUUCCAAAAGGCUUGAAGCCUAACAGCCUUAACAGUCUGGUUUUAUCAGACAAACCUGAUGGCUACAUAAUCACAACGCUAUGGUAAGCUAAAAAUUCUACUUUCACAGGUGCAACAGUAUACAAGAUCACAGGGAGAAUAGUAUCAGAAAAAUGGAAAAAGCAUUGGGCAGUUGCAAAUGCAGUUAACAAAGGAAAGCCACAAGAAGCAUGCAAGCAUAAAAGAGCAUGCUGCCUUACAAGGCACACACACCCUUCUCCAGGCAAACAACCAUUCAGAAGUACUUACUGAGCACAAGCAUAGGUUCAUAAAAAGAUUUAGGCUUUGGAAAGGACCUCUGGAGGUCAUGCCCCCUCAGCAAGGCUAACUCCAAAACUAGAUCAGGUUGCUCAGGGCCUUGCCCUCAAGUUUUCUUCAAGGUCACAGGUCCCACAGUCUCUCCUGACAACUUGUUCCAGUGCUGCAGUUACACAGACUGGCAGCAAAAUUACGGCACAUCAAGGCUGAUGAUAAUCACCUUCAUACUGAUGUUUCACUGUGUUUCCAAUGUCUGCAAACUUCCUGUCUUCAAAAAUCAAGAACUCGUGUUGAUCUGCGAGCGCUCUCAGCUCCUUUACUACCUCUUGGGUGAAAUCAUUCAGGAUAUCUAUAUGAGUCUUUAGGAUACAAAUGCUGGGGCCCAGGCUGGCCGCUAACUGCAGCAGUUCUUUGGAUCCUGUGACAUCUGCAGAAAGGCACAAGUUUGUCUGCUUCUUUUCCAUGAGCGUGAGAAGCCUGGCUGCGACAGGAUGCACCCCGGGAAGCUCAGCACGAGCCCUGAAGCUCAGCUCUUUACAGACUCUUUUCACUGGAGUGGGACCAUUCCGAGCCCCUGGCUCAAACACAUUUCCCUGAAUGAAAUUCUUCACCUUCUCAACCAUCUCCACAUCCACUUCUCCCUGCUGCUGGAGAAUAUCUAACAUCCCGGACAACGUACACACAGAGUGUAGGCGAAUUCCAUGUUCUUCUAACCUGGCCUUUCCCCCCUGCUCCCUGUCCAGCAGCACUACAGCAUCUGUGACUUUUAAUCCCUCCUUCCGAAGAACUUCAGCAGUUUCCAGUACGCUAGAUCCACUUGUUACCACAUCUUCAAUGAUCAAACAUGUUUCUCCUGGAUUGAUGGUGCCUUCUACCAGCCGCUUGGUACCGUAAUCUUUCGCUUCUUUCCUCCGUAUAAGCAUUGGAAUCUGAUUUUCAGAGCUGAUAAUUGUGGCCAACGGCAAAGCUGUGUACGGAACACCACACACACAGUCAUACUGGAGAGCAGCGUCUUUUGCUGUUUGGAACAGGAGAUCAGCAACCAGGCGGAGAAGAGAGGGCCGGGAGGCCAGGCCGCGCAGGUCCACGUAGACGGGCGAGGCGAUGCCGCUCCGCAGCACGAAGUCUCCAAAGCGCACAGCGCGCGCCUCCAACAGCGCCGCCGCCACACGCUCCGCGCCGCCCGCCGCCAUCUGCCCGCCCGCUGCCCGGCGCCGGGAGAUGACGGAAACGGCGACACCGUGAGGAAGUGCGCAUGCGCGGAGGUGCGCCGCCUAUUGUCGCCCCCCCCGGCUCUCCCAGGCCGCGUUCACGCGUUCCGGGUGCACUUCGUUCCCUCUCCCAUCACCAACAACCCGCGUUGGGAAACGAGACUGAGCCGUUGUUCUCUGAACAAUUGAGUUUAAUCCAAAAUAAAUAAAGAAAAUAAAGCCCAGAAACUGCAUCGUUAGCACAGUCCGUUCAUAGGGAGGGGGCACAGUCCGAAGCAGUGUCCGUAGCGUUGGAUCACGCCUGGCGUAGCAGUGUGUUUCAGGCUGCACUGUGCGCUGACAUCGUUAAGGCUGUGGCGUUACUUUGCACCUUGACAACACCGUGCCAUCCGCUGGGCCGUCCCCCUUCCUCCUUCAGCUGGCUGUUGGAAAGCUGACGAGCACAGAGCUUUGCUCUCAGUGAACAAGGUUGAGGUGGCCAUGGUCUGUGCAGAGCCACGCUCAGCCAUCCCCCCACUCUGCCACAGCCAACACGCAGUGCUGACACAGCACAGUGCCAGGCCCAGCACGUGGUGGCACCGCAGGCCCAGCCCGGCAGCACAAGGCCUGGCCUCGCAUCCUUGGGAAGCACCAUGUUGGGAUGGAACGCUGCCAAUGAGCCGCAAAACAAACCCAGGCCCUGUGCUGGACAUUUGUCUCUGGGAGUUUACAUAGCCCAGGUCACCUGAUGCAGCCCUCUCAUCGCAAGGGCAUUAAAAUACAGUUAUAUAUAGUCACAUUGCACCACGCAGUUCUGCAUUCAGCCUUUGUGGCAUUUGUAACAAAGCCCACUGAGGGCACAGGCUUUGUCUCAGCAUUACCUUAGGUUAAAAGUAAAAUUAUUUUUAAGGUACGUGUUAAUGAAAAUGAAGCUGUUUAAAAUAAAAAGGCAGUGGACUGGGAGAGCUUUUAAAGAUUGUUAAAGCAGUAUUUAAGCCUCCAGUUUCUAUCAAAUGCAAACAGAAGAGAGAAAAGACACAGUAAGGCUUAAAUAUUCCCUUAAUCAAUCCAACCUUUUCCCCCC
rnacentral:lncRNA from 1 species